rnacentral:rRNA from 1 species
AAUGAACGCUGGCGGCGCGCCUAAUACAUGCAAGUCGAGCGAGAAGACGUAGCAAUACGUUUGUAAAGCGGCGAACGGGUGAGGAAUACAUGGGUAACCUACCCUCGAGUGGGGAAUAACUAGCCGAAAGGUUAGCUAAUACCGCGUACGCUCCUUGGACUUCGGUUCAGGGAGGAAAGCGAUACCGUGGGUAUCGCGCUCUUGGUUGGGCUCAUGUCCUAUCAGCUUGUUGGUGAGGUAACGGCUCACCAAGGCUUCGACGGGUAGCUGGUCUGAGAGGACGAUCAGCCACACUGGCACUGCGACACGGGCCAGACUCCUACGGGAGGCAGCAGUAAGGAAUAUUGCGCAAUGGGCGAAAGCCUGACGCAGCGACGCCGCGUGGGGGAGUG